GCGACCCAAGGCGCACGCGUCCCGCGAGAGGAAGGGAAGCAGCCCAUCACCAGCACAGAUCUUGGAGCUAGUAGUUUAAAAGGAUUUCUCUUUCAAAGUAAACUGGAAGAAGCCUGCUGUGGGAAUAGCAGCUGCUGGCGGGACAGCAAGUCUCGCACUGGAGCAGUUGCUCAAGACAAACCCAGAGGAGACUCUGGAGUGACUGAGAAGCCAAAGGCUAGGGGGAGCUUUACAAGAGUUGUGCUCAAAGCACGUGGGGGGAGCGCUCCACUGUCUUCCCAUUCAGCCCCUUGCUAAUAAGCCAGGACCAGCGAGGAAAGAUCUGGGCCAUCUGAAGCAAUCCCACUGGUAAGGUCACUGGCAGCAGCUGCAAGAGAAAGCCCUCCCCUUCCUCUCCAGGGACAGCCUAUCAAACAAGCGUGUCCAGAGGUGUUUUCAUUGCAUGGGCCAUGCUAAGCACUCCUGGCUACCACCACCCCAUCAUCCCUCCCUCCUGCUAACCAGGCUAGGAAUGCUCCCUGCCCAUGCCCAGUGCACUUUCAAGAAACCUUCAGUCCCAGCCCUGGGGCCUAGGAAGCAGGAAUACAGAAAGUGUGCGGGCUGCAUCCAAGACCAUUGGUGUUAUGGGUGCACGAGUCCACCUGCAGGAUUGCAGCUGUCAUAAACAUACAGCUAAGGGUAGCAUAAAAUCCCUGCUUUACCUGUAAGGGUUAAGGAGCUCAAAUAAUCUGGUUGGCACCUGACCAAAAGGACCAAUAAGGGGAGAAGAUACUUUCAAAUCUGUG